rnacentral:rRNA from 1 species
CCUACGGGAGGCAGCAGUGGGGAAUAUUGCACAAUGGGCGAAAGCCUGAUGCAGCGACGCCGCGUGAGGGAUGACGGCCUUCGGGUUGUAAACCUCUUUCAGCAGGGAAGAAGCGAAAGUGACGGUACCUGCAGAAGAAGCGCCGGCUAACUACGUGCCAGCAGCCGCGGUAAUACGUAGGGCGCAAGCGUUGUCCGGAAUUAUUGGGCGUAAAGAGCUCGUAGGCGGCUUGUCACGUCGGUUGUGAAAGCCCGGGGCUUAACCCCGGGUCUGCAGUCGAUACGGGCAGGCUAGAGUGUGGUAGGGGAGAUCGGAAUUCCUGGUGUAGCGGUGAAAUGCGCAGAUAUCAGGAGGAACACCGGUGGCGAAGGCGGAUCUCUGGGCCAUUACUGACGCUGAGGAGCGAAAGCGUGGGGAGCGAACAGGAUUAGAUACCCUGGUAGUCCACGCCGUAAACGGUGGGAACUAGGUGUUGGCGACAUUCCACGUCGUCGGUGCCGCAGCUAACGCAUUAAGUUCCCCGCCUGGGAGUACGGCCGCGAAGGCUAAAACGUUAAAGGAUUAGAACGGU